GAUGAACGCUGGCGGCGUGCCUAAUACAUGCAAGUCGAGCGAACGGACGAGAAGCUUGCUUCUCUGAUGUUAGCGGCGGACGGGUGAGUAACACGUGGAUAACCUACCUAUAAGACUGGGAUAACUUCGGGAAACCGGAGCUAAUACCGGAUAAUAUUUUGAACCGCAUGGUUCAAAAGUGAAAGACGGUCUUGCUGUCACUUAUAGAUGGAUCCGCGCUGCAUUAGCUAGUUGGUAAGGUAACGGCUUACCAAGGCAACGAUGCAUAGCCGACCUGAGAGGCGGAUCGGCCACACUGGAACUGAAACACGGUCCAGACUCCUACGGGAGGCAGCAGUAGGGAAUCUUCCGCAAUGGGCGAAAGCCUGACGGAGCAACGCCGCGUGAGUGAUGAAGGUCUUCGGAUCGUAAAACUCUGUUAUUAGGGAAGAACAUAUGUGUAAGUAACUGUGCACAUCUUGACGGUACCUAAUCAGAAAGCCACGGCUAACUACGUG
rnacentral:rRNA from 1 species